rnacentral:misc_RNA from 1 species
AAAAAAAAGAAUACUGAUUAUUCAAUCCAAACAUUAUGAUCGUUCGACUAAUGUACUGCACACUUUAAAUAAUUGUAUAAGGAUGUCUUGGUUCUUACUUGGGCUAAUGGUAAUUCUUGAUGCUUUCAUACCAUUGUGGUGGAUGAAUCUCAAGAAGAUGAAUCUGGAGCAACAUAAGUUGGAUUAAACACGGCCUGCUCGGCACAUGAAAGAGUUUCAUGAGUCCCGGACUCAUCACGACCAAGACCCAUCAAAUCGAGGUAAUAUUGGUAAUGAGAAAUAAUGUUGUUCAUGGGGUCGAUAUCACCCUUCCCACAAAUGGAAUCGCCAUAGAGAAUAUUCAUGGUUGUGCCGAAACCAGGAAGCCUUUUAGACAAGGUGUCAUUCUUGGUGGGUUUCCAAUUGCCAACAAAGACAUCAUGGGGUGAAGGCUGUGACUUCUUCACUGGGUUCAUCCACAUCCAUAUUGCAGUUUGGAAUGCAAUGGUAGCAUUCUGCUCAACAUAUUCAGGAUGAGUCAACAGGUCAAGCUUCAAUGCUUCCCCAAUCUUGCCGUAAUUGAAAUUCCAGUAAAUGGGCAGAGCACCACGGCCAUAAUAUUGAGCACCAGGAGAACAAGGAUAAGUGAGCUUGAAGUAGUCAUUACAAUAGUCCUGGCUUGGACUCAUUUCCUUGUUGAAACAGAGUCCCCAGGCAAGUGGCCCUCCUGUGACCACUCCAUCACCACAAGAGGUCUUAGAGCCGACAUGGCCCAAGAAAGCAGCAAUCUCUUUCAUCUGCAUCUUCUUAUCCCCAGUGGUUCCAAAUCCGAGAGGCUCGAACUGGGCGGCGGCGAGAAUGAAGGAAUGGAAGUCCCAGAAACCGACGGCAUGGGCCACCGGCGAAUUACGCUUAGAGAAGAGAUUCUCAAAUUGAUAGGUCUCGAAGUAGUCGGUAAUGGUCAAAUUGCAACAAUAAGUAGACCAAGUGCACUCCCAUCCUCUAUCACAGAGCUUCUUCCCCUUCACAACCUUAACCUUCGGCUUAAUCGGGGGCUCAUCCCCACUCACAACAGACGCCAUUACAAUCAGCGCCAGUACCACCAGCAGCGAGCGAUUCAAAGCCAUUACCACGUCUCCCACUCAAAUGGCAGCGGCGAUUGGGCAGAUCUGAGGAGGGCGUUGUCUUAAACUUGGAAAUGCGCAAAUGAAGAAGGAGGAGGAGAAGAAGGAGAAGGAAGAAUCGUUAAAGGGAGGGG